GACAGAGGUGCCAAGCGUUAGGCGGAAUCACUGGGCUUAAAGCGUGUGUAGGCGGAUGCCUAAGUAUCUUGUGAAAUCCCACGGCUCAACCGUGGAACUGCUUGAUAUACUGGGUGUCUUGAGCCAUCUAGGGGCUACCGGAACAAAUGGUGGAGCGGUGAAAUGCGUAGAGAUCGGGAAGAACACCAGUGGCGAAAGCGCUCUGCUGGACUGCAACUGACACUGAGAUGCGAAAGUGUGGGGAGCAAACGGG
rnacentral:rRNA from 1 species